rnacentral:rRNA from 1 species
UACGUAGGUCCCGAGCGUUGUCCGGAUUUAUUAGGCGUAAAGCGAGCGCAGGUGGUUUAUUAAGUCUGGUGUAAAAGGCAGUGGCUCAACCAUUGUAUGCAUUGGAAACUGUUAGACUUGAGUGCAGGAGAGGAGAGUGGAAUUCCAUGUGUAGCGGUGAAAUGCGUAGAUAUAUGGAGGAACACCGGUGGCGAAAGCGGCUCUCUGGCCUGUAACUGACACUGAGGCUCGAAAGCGUGGGGAGCAAACAGG